rnacentral:tRNA from 1 species
AAGCUAAGUUAAUCAAGAAAAAGCCUCUAACUUCAUUCUUAAGCAGUGAAAUCCUGUUUUUAGCUUU